rnacentral:tRNA from 1 species
GGACAAACCGCCAUUGGUGAAGUUAAGAUGAUUGCUAAUUGUCUGGCAAUAUAAACGCCUUAGGAGUUCGAAUCUCCUUUUGUCCG